UACGGGGAGGCAGCAGUGGGGGAAUAUUGCACAAUGGGCGCAAGCCUGAUGCAGCCAUGCCGCGUGUGUGAAGAAGGACCUUCGGGUUGUAAAGCACUUUCAGUCGUGAGGAAGGUAGUGUAGUUAAUAGCUGCAUUAUUUGACGUUAGCGACAGAAGAAGCACCGGCUAACUCCGUGCCAGCAGCCGCGGUAAUACGGAGGGUGCGAGCGUUAAUCGGAAUUACUGGGCGUAAAGCGCAUGCAGGUGGUUUGUUAAGUCAGAUGUGAAAGCCCGGGGCGUCAACCUCGGAAUAGCAUUUGAAACUGGCAGACUAGAGUACUGUAGAGGGGGUAGGAAUUUCAGGUGUAGCGGUGAAAUGCGUAGAGAUCUGAAGGAAUACCGGUGGCGAAGGCGGCCCCCUGGACAGAUACUGACACUCAGAUGCGAAAGCGUGGGGAGCAAACAGGAUUAGAUACCCUGGUAG
rnacentral:rRNA from 1 species